UACGUAGGCAGCAAGCGUUGUUCGGAAUUACUGGGCGUAAAGAGUGUGUAGGCGGUGUUCUAAGUCUGUUGUGAAAUCUCCCGGCUUAACUGGGAGGGUGCGGCGGAAACUGGAAUGCUAGAGGAUGGGAGAGGUAAGCGGAAGUUCCUGGUGUAGCGGUGAAAUGCGUAGAUAUCAGGAGGAACACCUGUGGUGUAGACAGCUUACUGGACCAUUUCUGACGCUGAGACACGAAAGCGUGGGUAGCAAACAGG
rnacentral:rRNA from 1 species